rnacentral:lncRNA from 1 species
CCUUGAAUCAAAGUAUAAAAGGUGAAAACAUCGACGGGAACUUUUCAUACGAACCUAUUAAUCAUGACUAUACAGACGGGAAAUCAUUAUGUCAACCUUUUGAUAAUGCAUAUUUCGAUUGAAAACAGCCUUCAGUAUACUAAAAGAGGGGCGAACGAUACCAGAUGGACAUUCAACAUUACUUCGACAGAUAAUUGUAGUAAGGACAUAAUUCUGUAUUAUACAGCUAAUAUCUAAUAGACAUUGACGAAACGUAAAUAUGCAUACCAUCAUUUCCUUUUUAUUCAUAUGCAUUCCCUUUCGAAAGCCUUAAAAAUCUCAUUUUCUGCACAACCUUAUAAUGAAUGAACAUUACUCUAC